GCCCACGGCCCCGCCCCGGCGUGGAGUCCGCGUCUCGAGUCCGGCGCAGGGCUGGCGGAUCCUCCCAAACAUGAUAGCGCCGGGAUUUAUAUUUGUGCUGGUGCUGCCUUUAAUCCUGCCGGCCGACACAAGUGCAGGCUGGACCCUGAGUCACAACCGUGGAGAACCAGAAGACGGAAUCUGCGUGCUAACGCAAAAUGUCCGUUUUCGCUUUGCUUCAUACAUCAAUAAUUACAUGGUGCUGCAGAAGGAGCCUGCAGGGGCAGUGAUCUGGGGCUAUGGCAUAUUCGGAGCCACAGUGACAGUGACUUUGUGCCAAGAUAAAGAAACCAUCAUGGAGAAGGUGACGAGUGUGAAAGCACAUUCUAACAGCUGGAUGGUGGUACUGGAUCCUAUGAAGCCUGGUGGACCUUAUGAGGUGAUGGCACAACAGACUUCUGGGAGAACAAACUUCACCCUGAGAGUUCAUGAUGUCUUAUUUGGAGAUGUCUGGCUUUGCAGUGGGCAAAGUAACAUGCAGAUGACGGUUUCACAGAUAUUCAAUGCGACAAGAGAGCUGUCUAACACUGCGGCCUAUCAGUCUGUCCGCAUCUUCUCUGUGUCGCUCACUGAGGCAGAGCAGGAACUGGAGGACCUGGCCAAGGUUGACUUGCAGUGGUCUAAGCCCACCUCAGAAAACUUAGGCCAUGGAGUUUUCAAGUACAUGUCAGCAGUGUGCUGGCUCUUUGGGCGUAACCUGUAUGACACAUUGCAUUAUCCCAUUGGGCUGAUCUCCUCCUCUUGGGGUGGGACACCCAUUGAAGCCUGGUCUUCUGGAAGGUCACUGAAAACCUGUGGUGUUCCUACACGAGGGUUCACUCAGUCUGAUUCUGUAACCGGUCCCAGUAAGAACUCUGUUCUCUGGAAUGCCAUGAUCCAUCCACUACAUAAUAUGACACUGAAAGGGAUGAUAUGGUACCAGGGGGAGUCCAAUAUAAAUAUUAACAGGGACCUGUACAAUUGCACAUUCCCUGCACUCAUUGAAGACUGGCGUCAAGCCUUCCACCGUGGCUCCCAGGGGCAGACAGAGCGUUUCUUCCCAUUUGGAUUUGUCCAGUUAUCUUCAUAUUUGUCUGCAACCUCAGAUGAUAAAUUUCCCCAGAUCCGUUGGCAUCAAACAGCAGACUUUGGCUAUGUCCCCAACGUGAGGAUGCCCAACACUUUCAUGACAGUAGCAAUGGAUCUCUGUGAUAGGACGUCCCCUUAUGGCAGCAUCCACCCUCGAGAUAAACAGACUGUGGCCUACAGGCUGCACCUGGGGGCCCGGGCUGUGGCCUAUGGUGAGAAACUGAUCUUUCAAGGACCACUGCCUGAGAAGAUGGAACUCCUGGCUGACAGGGGGCUGCUAAACCUCACAUAUUCACAGCAAAUCCAGGUGAAGAAGCAGGACAAAAUAUUUGAGAUCUCAUGUUGCAGUGACCAUCAGUGCAAGUGGCUCCCAGCUCCCAUGGGCCCUUUCUCAGCCCAGACCCUGGCCCUGAACGUCAGUUCUUGUCGCGGCACUCCGGCUGCUGUUCGCUAUGCCUGGACCACGUGGCCUUGUGAAUAUAAGCGGUGCCCCCUGUACCACCCCAGCAGCACCCUGCCGGCUCCUCCCUUCAUCGCUUUCAUGACAGACCAGAUCCCUGGAGAUCUCAGCAAGCUUGCUGAAUGAUUUAGCGGCCUUGCGAUCAUUACCUUGGACAUAAGUGUGGGUCCUUUCGAUGUGGGCAUUUAGCUGUGGAAGUGAUGACAGCUAUAGCUUUUAAAGGCAACUAAUAGAAAAGCCGCACUGGACAGCUCCCAGCUAGCACAUGGCUGUGUCCGUGUUCUGAAUAGGCGAUGAGCAGUGCUGGCAGGCUAAUGAGAUGCUUGCCUCUUGUCCCCUAGUCAGCCUAGGUGUCUUGCCGGACUAAUUCCCAGCUACAAAUGGAACUUCAGUGUCCUUCACUUCCCUGUGGAGAGUGCAGUGUCUAACACUUUUGUCUACUUAUAUCCAGAACUGUGGAAACUCAUGGCUGGAAAGGAUUUGAAGGCCAUGUGGGCCAGCUCCUAUUUAUGUCUUCUUUACAAAAUCUGUUCAGUUAAACAGUAUCCAUUUUUCCAAAGAAGACCUAAGAUGGCCAACAGACGCAAGAAAAGAUGCUCAACAUCACUCAUCAUCAGGGAAAUACAAAUCAAAACUACAGUGAGCUAUCACCUCACAUCUGUAAGAAUGGCCAAAUUUAACAACACAGGAAACAACAGGUGUUGGUGAGGAUGUGGAGAAAGGGAAACCUUCUUAACACUGCUGGUGGGAAUGCAAACUGAUGCAGCCACUCUGGAAAACGGUAUGGAGGUUCCUCAAAAAAUUAAAACUAGAACUACCCUACAACCCAGCAAUUGCACUACUAGGUAUUUAUCCAAAGGAUACAAAAAUACUGAUUUGAAGAGGCACAUGCACCCCGAUGCUUCUGGAAAGAGCCAAAUGUCAUCCAUUGGCUGAUGAAUGGAUAAAAAAGAUGUGGUAGAUACACACCGUGGAAUACUACUCAGCCAUCGAAAGAAUGAAAUCUUGCCAUUUGCCAACACGGAGCUACAGUGUAUUUUGCUAAGCGAAGUAAGUCCAUCAGAGAAAGACAAAUACCAUAUGAUUUCACUAAUGUGUGGAAUUUAAGAAACAAAACAGAUGAACAUAGGGGAAAGAAAAAGAGAGGCAAACCAUAAAACAGACUCUUAAUUCUAGAAAAUUGAGGGUUGCUAGAGGGAACAUGGGUGGGAGAUGGGUUAAAUGCAGGAUGGGUAUUUAGGAGGGCACUUGUGAUGAGCACCAGGUGUUAUAUGCAUGUGAUGGAAUCACUAAAUUCUACUCCUGAAACCAAUACUACACUGUGUGUUAGCUAACUAGAAUUUAAAUAAAAACUUAAAAACCAAAA